CAUUACAGCAGUUCCCCUUAUAACCACAAGGUGGCACUCUUUAGCAAAACAAGGACGAUAAGGCAGUGAGAAUUUUGCGAUUUAUGUAUCAACACAUGGUGAUAGAUAGAAUACAAUGGUGCUGUUAUUUCAUGCUGCAGUAUGAAUGGAAGUACCCAUGUAAUAUUCUGUGUUAAUGGCUUAUGGUAGUUUCGCAAGCACCCUUGCAAAAGGGGAGUUGUCAGCCAAUAAGAAUGCAACACAACCUGUUUAGCUCUAAUUCACUUUUGUACUUUGAUUUUAGUCGCUCCUUGACAAAAAAGAGCAAUUAAACGCGACUCGCAAAAGGAAAGACAGAAAAAAAGCCACAGUGAAUUUAAGAGGACAUAGCAGACUUCGAUCAUGCUCAAGGUCACCUGGUGAUGGGCGGCUCCUCUUCCAAGGGUUUCUUGGUCCAGCAGAAGAGGUCCCCUAUUAGGCAAGCUCUGGCUCCGUUGAAGAGAGCCAUGCGGGUGAGGAGGCGCAAGAAGAUGAUGAAGCCGCUGUACGAUUUAAAUCCACGGAGGGUCACGUCAGACCGCAACAGAGGCUCCCUACCAGUGUGGUGGAAAAAACUGUUCAGAAGCCACAGUGGCAGGGAGCCCAUGCAGGAGGGAAGGAAGCGAUCGGGAAUGACACAUGAAAGGAGGAAGAAUUAAGCACAAACCCCAGCAAGGAAAUGAGAGACGCCGCAUGAUGGACCUACACAAAAGAAUAUGUGACAUCACUGAAGGGAAACAUAUUUAAUGACAUCACCUUCACUCAUAUUUCUAUAUAAAAAAAAGACAGAAUGAUCCCCAUCAGUAUGUGGAAGUGCCCUAAAUGCCGUACUGUACGCACUUCUCAAAAGUGUCAUAAAAACAUGGAACGACACCAACGUGAUGCUUCACUCACACAACGACAAAAAGUCAGUCUCAGGUAACGAUUACUGAUUACAGAGGCACAGAAAUACCGGCAUGGACAAAAUUUUUACCAUGGACUCCAAUUUUUCAACAUUUUCAGCGCACACCUGCAAAAAAAAUUGCCACAAAAAAAAAAAAAAAUCAAGCAACAACAGAGUGCAACACAUUAUGUUGAACACCCCCCCCAAAAAUUGUUUUAAAAAAAUCGCAAAAUUUGCACACAAAAAAAAAAAGGUUAUAUCUUUGUCUUCCCCAAUGCAGAAAAACGUAAAUACUAAAGGACAGGUGUCAAGCAGUCAAAUAUUCUGCCUGUAACUCCUAUUGGAUGUUGUUCAUUCUGCAUUAAAAAAAAAGUCAGUUUGUCAGCCAAUUAAUUUUCACAUUAGAGUCGGCAUGAGAGUUUAGAUAUUCAUAUCAAACUCUUUACGCAAACUGUUUUCUGAAUGUUGGCAUUUUGCAGAAAUACAUAGAUCGAUUUCGAGGUUUGGCAUGCUUCAGAUAUUUAAUUGAUGCGCUUUUAAAUUUAUCAAACGUGUAAUUCAUGCAAAAAAAGUAUGACUUUUGACAAUCGAAUUUGAAUGUUCAAAAAAAUUAACAUCUUCCAAAUGAUUUAUUUCCCUGAAGUUUUAUCACGUCUCCUUCUUUAGCACAUUUACACAAAUUAGCAGAAAUGUAUUACGUAUUUUCUAACUUUUUAAAACAAAUUCCAAUUUUUUUCUAAAUUCUAAAUUUUUGAAAACAAAAAAGCCUUUAAUUCCCCAUCGCAGUAUUUGACUUAUUUUCCCUUUUUUUGGGGACACAAUUCCUAAUUUACCGUUUUUGAGACAAUUGUAUUUUCUUUGGGUCAAUUUUGUCAGACGUUUGCACCAAUUAGAUUUUGCCAAACUGUAAUUCUGACGCAAAUGCCCUUGCCCUACUUUCUUCAACUCUUACGUUUCCCCUAAAGUUGUACUUGUUUGCACAAUUUCCUUCCCAAGGGUCGACUUUGUGCAAAAAUUUCGUGUUUCCUUGACUUUCUCCAUAAAUUUACUUUCCAGAAAAAGCGUUGGAAAAUUCAUUUGAGAAGUUGAUUGCGUUUAGAAUACGGUGGGGAAAAAUGCUGAAGCAGCAAAGCUAGUGAAACGCAAAAUUUUGAGUCACGACCAAGAACUUUUUUCCCACGACUGCAUCAAAGUCACAGUUCAAAUAUUAUAAUGAACUCAGUCUACUUCUUCCGAACUUGUUUAGCUAAUGAACCACAGUAUUGAACAUUGAAUUUUAAGGUACAACAUCACAUUCAGGCUACAAACAAAAGCAUCAUAAAUAUAACAUUUGAGUACUUUUGAGAUUGUAGAGCACAUAAAAAAAAGUUGCAUAGAUGUAUUAGUUCUUUGCUUUUGUUGGUUUAUUACUUUUGUGUCUUCCUCUCAGAAAGCUGACAAAAGCCUGCUCAGGAGCUCACAAAAUGUGGUGGGAAAAAAAAAAGCUCCAAGAAAAAAAAAAGGCUAAAAAAAAUGUUUUAAAUAAAAUAAAAA